AUUGAACGCUGGCGGCAUGCCUUACACAUGCAAGUCGAACGGCAGCAUGGGUGCUUGCACCUGAUGGCGAGUGGCGAACGGGUGAGUAAUGUAUCGGAACAUGCCCUGAAGUGGGGGAUAACGUAGCGAAAGUUACGCUAAUACCGCAUAUUCUGUGAGCAGGAAAGCAGGGGAUCGCAAGACCUUGCGCUUUAGGAGUGGCCGAUAUCGGAUUAGCUAGUUGGUGAGGUAAAGGCUCACCAAGGCGACGAUCCGUAGCGGGUCUGAGAGGAUGAUCCGCCACACUGGGACUGAGACACGGCCCAGACUCCUACGGGAGGCAGCAGUGGGGAAUUUUGGACAAUGGGCGCAAGCCUGAUCCAGCCAUGCCGCGUGAGUGAAGAAGGCCUUCGGGUUGUAAAGCUCUUUCGGCGGGGAAGAAAUGGUUUCGGUUAAUACCCGGAACUGAUGACGGUACCCGCAUAAGAAGCACCGGCUAACUACGUGCCAGCAGCCGCCGUAA
rnacentral:rRNA from 1 species